CCUGCCCCGCCCCCAGGGAGCGGGGGGCUGAGCGACGGGGUUCCCCGAGGGUUUCCCCGGUUCGGUCUCGAAGUGAAGCGCUACUGGCGCGUAGGUUGACUCCGCGGUUGUCGGAAUACCCCUUUGCUCUCAAAAGCAAAUAGGAGCCCGUGGAGAGCGCAGAGGAAUACACUAGCAGGGUGACCAGUGUUGGGAGAGAUUGGAAAACAAAGUUCAAAGACGACAGCGCUCAGUGGUCAAUGGCGCUCUCUGCUGGGAAGCUCAGGAACAGCACCCUCUUUCACAAACAGUUCCUAGGGUUCCAGAAGUAGUAGCGCCAUUACAUCAUCACCCUACCUGUUUGGUGAAUAAGGUCUACCCUUUUCUAUCCUUGACUCAGAUUCCUGAGAGGUCAGAAACUACUGAAUGUCAAAAGAACUCUUGCUCAAAAGUUGCAUCCAAACCGGUCUUGUGGGUAACAGUGCUCAGCAAUACAAGUGAAAUGAGAUUCAAUUCAUCUAGCUUUACCAACUGCCAUGAAAUAAAAUUGCUCAAUUGUCUUGGGCAACUGGCACUUCAGAAAGAUUACACAACAAUUUCAUCCAUAAGGUCCCAAUAAAAUUAAUAAA